rnacentral:tRNA from 1 species
GCUUCCUUAGCUCAGUUGGUAGAGCAACUGACUCUUAAUCAGUGGGUCGGGGGUUCGAGUCCCCCAGGGAGCA